rnacentral:lncRNA from 1 species
GGUGUGAUGUAUUUUUGAAGUGUCUUAGAAGAAAGCCAAUGUGGAUAUUGCAGGGUCACUGUGGAAAUGUGUAUCAGUGACCGUUUAGUUGUAAAUGCACAAAAGAGAAAGAAUGUCAGCCUUAGAGGAUUAUCCUGCUUUUCCCAAUUUUAGAACCAGGAAGUUUUUACUGAAAUGGCUUUGUGGAACUUACUUACAAGCUAAGUAACCUUCCCAGUAGUUUUAUUAUGGACAGUAAUUAGUGCUUUCGCUUUUCUGAUGAAGAUGUGUAAAAAAAAACAGGUUAGGAAUUUCCUCUCCCCCACCAGACUCAUUCUGUGGAAUAAGCAGAAGCAGGACGACAGCCAGCUGGAGUCUGACUGCAGGGACUCGCUUCCUCAACACCCUGACCUCACACUGGCUCAGCGGAAGAUUGGCAGUGGACCCUUUUUAGAAGAUUCCAGGCUUGGAGCUCAGUCUGUCAAGUAUAAGAAACAGAGUAAAGCUGGAGAAUACUGGUAGAAAUCAUCGUCUGGACUUGUGGGUAAAAAUUAAGUUUCAUCCUUGAUUUUUAAAAUCACUCUUGGAUGCCAUAAUCAUGUCUUUUCAUUGCAUAGAACCAUGUACUUGUUCUUAGGAGAUCCGUGCUCAAGCAUUUAGAAGUUAGAUGCCAGGUUUGCAUAUAGAUAUAGACAGAGAGAGAGAGAGAUGGGUAGGGAUACAGAGAGAUAAGCCAGUGUGGCAAAUAUUA